CUGACUGACUCAUACUGCCAUGCAGUCGAGCGGAUGACAGGGAGCUUGCUCCUGGAUUCAGCGGCGGACGGGUGAGUAAUGCCUAGGAAUCUGCCUGGUAGUGGGGGACAACGUUUCGAAAGGAACGCUAAUACCGCAUACGUCCUACGGGAGAAAGCAGGGGACCUUCGGGCCUUGCGCUAUCAGAUGAGCCUAGGUCGGAUUAGCUAGUUGGUGAGGUAAUGGCUCACCAAGGCGACGAUCCGUAACUGGUCUGAGAGGAUGAUCAGUCACACUGGAACUGAGACACGGUCCAGACUCCUACGGGAGGCAGCAGUGGGGAAUAUUGGACAAUGGGCGAAAGCCUGAUCCAGCCAUGCCGCGUGUGUGAAGAAGGUCUUCGGAUUGUAAAGCACUUUAAGUUGGGAGGAAGGGUUGUAGAUUAAUACUCUGCAAUUUUGACGUUACCGACAGAAUAAGCACCGGCUAACUCUGUGCCAGCAGCCGCGGUAAUACAGAGGGUGCAAGCGUUAAUCGGAAUUACUGGGCGUAAAGCGCGCGUAGGUGGUUUGUUAAGUUGGAUGUGAAAGCCCCGGGCUCAACCUGGGAACUGCAUCCAAAACUGGCAGGCUAGAGUACGGUAGAGGGUGGUGGAAUUUCCUGUGUAGCGGUGAAAUGCGUAGAUAUAGGAAGGAACACCAGUGGCGAAGGCGACCACCUGGACUGAUACUGACACUGAGGUGCGAAAGCGUGGGGAGCAAACAGGAUUAGAUACCCUGGUAGUCCACGCCGUAAACGAUGUCAACUAGCCGUUGGAAUCCUUGAGAUUUUAGUGGCGCAGCUAACGCAUUAAGUUGACCGCCUGGGGAGUACGGCCGCAGGGUUAAAACUCAAAUGAAUUGACGGGGGCCCGCACAAGCGGUGGAGCAUGUGGUUUAAUUCAAAGCAACGCGAAAACCUUACCAGGCCUUGACAUGCAGAGAACUUUCCAAAGAUGGAUCGGUGCCUUCGGGAACUCUGACACAGUGCUGCAUGGCUGUCAUCACUCUGCCCUCAAUGUUGGGUUAAGUC
rnacentral:rRNA from 1 species